GCAGUGGUGGUUCAGCAGUAGAAUUCUCGCCUUCCGUGCGGGAGACCUGGGUUCGAUUCCUGGCCAGUGCA
rfam:Loxodonta africana unplaced genomic scaffold scaffold_10, whole genome shotgun sequence.